CCUACGGGUGGCAGCAGUGAGGAAUAUUGGUCAAUGGGCGCGAGCCUGAACCAGCCAAGUAGCGUGAAGGAUGACUGCCCUACGGGUUGUAAACUUCUUUUAUAAAGGAAUAAAGUGAGGCACGUGUGCCUUUUUGUAUGUACUUUAUGAAUAAGGAUCGGGUAACUCCGUGCAAGCAGCCGCGGUAAUACGGAGGAUCCGAGCGUUAUCCGGAUUUAUUGGGUUUAAAGGGAGAGUAGAUGGGGUGUUAAGUGAGGUGUGAAAGUUUGCGGCUCAACCGUAAAAUUGCAAUUGAUACUGGCAGCCUUGAGUACAGUUGAGGUAGGCGGAAUGCGUGGUGUAGCGGUGAAAUGCUUAGAUAUCACGAAGAACUCCGAUUGCGAAGGCAGCUUACUAAACUGCCACUGACAUUGAUGCUCGAAAGUGUGGGUAUCAAACAGGAUUAGAUACCCCGGUAGUC
rnacentral:rRNA from 1 species